UGUGGUUAAAAAGCUCGUAGUUGGAUCUCAACAGCCUUGAAGCGGUUAACUUUGUAGUUUUACUGCUUUAUAGGCUGUGCUUUUGCUGGAGGUUUAGGGGUGCUCUUGAUCGAGUGUCUCUGGAUGCCAGCAGGUUUACUUUGAAAAAAUUAGAGUGCUCAAAGCAGGCUAAAAUGCCUGAAUAUUCGUGCAUGGAAUAAUAGAAUAGGAUGUCGAUCCUAUUUUGUUGGUUUUCGGGACUCGACAUAAUGAUAAAUAGGGACAGUCGGGGGCAUUUGUAUUCAAACGACAGAGGUGAAAUUCUUGGACCGUUUGAAGACAAACUACUGCGAAAGCAUUUGCCAAGAAUGUUUUCAUUAAUCAAGAACGAAAGUUAGAGGUUCGAAGGCGAUUAGAUACCGCCCUAGUUCUAACCAUAAACGAUGCCAGCUAGCGAUCUGCCUGCGUUUUUACUGUAGACUGGGCAGGAAGCUUCCGGGAAACCAAAGCAUUUGGGUUCCAGGGGAAGUAUGGUUGCCAAGCUGAAACUUAGAGGAAUUGACGGAAGGGCACCACCAGGAGUGGAGCCUGUGGC
rnacentral:rRNA from 1 species